rnacentral:piRNA from 1 species
UGAAAUCCAGAAACCAUGUCCAGUGCAUU